AUGAACGCUAGCUACAGGCUUAACACAUGCAAGUCGAGGGGCAGCAUGGUCUUAGCUUGCUAAGACUGAUGGCGACCGGCGCACGGGUGAGUAACGCGUAUCCAACCUGGCCCAUAGUAGGGAACAGCCCGGCGAAAGUCGGAUUAAUGCCCUAUGUUAUCCGUAGACGGCAUCAGAUGCGGAGCAAAGAUUUAUCGCUAUGGGAUGGGGAUGCGUCUGAUUAGGUAGUAGGCGGGGCAACGGCCCACCUAGCCGACGAUCAGUAGGGGUUCUGAGAGGAAGGUCCCCCACAUUGGAACUGAGACACGGUCCAAACUCCUACGGGAGGCAGCGGUGAGGAAUAUUGGUCAAUGGGCGUGAGCCUGAACCAGCCAAGUAGCGUGAGGGAAGACGGCCCUACGGGUUGUAAACCUCUUUUGCCGGGGAAUAAAGUGCGGGACGCGUCCCGUUUUGUAUGUACCCGGAGAAUAAGGACCGGCUAAUUCCGUGCCAGCCGCGGC
rnacentral:rRNA from 1 species